rnacentral:lncRNA from 1 species
GCUAGAUGGUGACUCUAUGUAGGUCUUUUGGUAUGAUCUUAGAAAUUGGCCAAAGGAAAUCCUUCUAUAGUAACUUAAAUAUGAACAUCCUUUUUGAACGAGGUUUUGACACCCAUUGUGUUUGGUUUUGCUAUGCUCAAUGCGAUCAGUUCACCAUUCUGUUUGCUUUUCUUGAACUCGUAUUGUAGCGUCUUUGUCUACACUGUGCUGUUCUAGUGCUACUAUGGUCUAUGGGCCUUGUUUACUAGAUCUCAUGUUGUGAUAUUUUUUUUAUACUUCCCUAGAUAUGGUUGAGUACAUCCUGAAACACUGUUUAAAACAUCACCG